CCGCGUGUGUGAUGAANGCCUUCGGGUCGUANAGCACUGUGGAGGGGGAAGAAACAGCAGCGGAAUAAUACCCGACUGCCCUGACGGUACCCCUUUAGCAAGCACCGGCUAACUCCGUGCCAGCAGCCGCGGUAAUACGGAGGGUNGCAACGUUGCUCGGAAUCAUUGNGCGUANAGCGCGUGUAGGCGGUGCGUUAAGUCGGAUGUGAAAUCCCUGGGCUCAACCUANGAAUUGCGUUCGAUACUGGCGCACUAGAAUACAGGAGAGGAUAGCGGAAUUCCCGGUGUAGAGGUGAAAUUCGUAGAUUUCGGGAGGAACACCCAGUGCGAAGGCGGCUAUCUGGACUGAUAUUGACGCUGAGACGCGAAAGCGUGGGUAGCAAACAGGAUUAGAUACCCUGGUAGUCCACGCCGUAAACGAUGAGUGCUAGAAUGUCACGGGUUUGACCCCUGUGGUAUCAAAGCUAACGCAUUAAGCACUCCGCCUGGGGAGUACGGUCGCAAGAUUAAAACUCANAGGAAUUGACGGGGUGCCGCACAAGCGGUGGAGCAUGUGGUUUAAUUCGACGCAACGCGAAGA
rnacentral:rRNA from 1 species